AUUGAACGCUGGCGGCAUGCCUUACACAUGCAAGUCGAACGGCAGCACGGGAGCAAUCCUGGUGGCGAGUGGCGAACGGGUGAGUAAUAUAUCGGAACGUGCCCAGUAGUGGGGGAUAACUGCUCGAAAGAGCAGCUAAUACCGCAUACGACCUGAGGGUGAAAGGGGGGGAUCGCAAGACCUCUCGCGAUUGGAGCGGCCGAUAUCAGAUUAGCUGGUUGGUGGGGUAAAGGCCUACCAAGGCAACGAUCUAUAGUUGGUCUGAGAGGACGACCAGCCACACUGGGACUGAGACACGGCCCAGACUCCUACGGGAGGCAGCAGUGGGGAAUUUUGGACAAUGGGCGCAAGCCUGAUCCAGCAAUUCCGCGUGCAGGAAGAAGGCCUUCGGGUUGUAAACUGCUUUUGUCAGGGAAGAAAUCCUCUAGGUUAAUACCCUUGGGGGGAUGACGGUACCUGAAGAAUAAGCACCGGCUAACUACGUGCCAGCCGCCGCAGUAACAC
rnacentral:rRNA from 1 species